rnacentral:misc_RNA from 1 species
ACAUAAUGUACUAAAAAAUCUAAGGACAAAUAAGGAAAGAACAAAAAGAAUCUUCUGUUGAUUCCAAAAAUAGCUGUUGAUGGCGUGAGGACCAUUUGCAAAAUGUGCAAGCUGGUUGUCCUUCAUAAAGCAAUGUUGGAGACCACAUGCCAAGGUAAGGGACCGUGCCAGAUCAUGCCCAAGUGUGCUGAAACUAUGCCAGAUUAUGCCCAAGUGUGCUGCCCAUGUUAAAUACGCCAAGUGUGCUGGAACCAUGCCAGAUCAUGCCUAUGUGUGCCACAAUUGCUGGUUUGAUUCUCACACUCAGUUGUGAGAUAUUCUACCCCAAAUGGUAUUGUAAUUACUUGGUACCCAACAUGUUGAUCUUCACUUGAAUUACUCCUUGUAGAAUUUCCUUGUAUUUUGGUGUCCUCAUAUUCGCAUUAGUCCCUCUUUCAAAAUAAUUCAUCAUCGAAUUCCAUCCUGAAUCAGCAACCAAUGCUUUGAUACCAAAUUUGAUGUGA